CACAUCCCGGCAUUUAUGACUGCUUAUCCCGGUCUUAUUGAGGGUGACCCACUCGUCAGACCACUCCUCGGAUUUUACUAAGUGGUACUGAUUGACUGACAAUUCUGGGUGACCCCUAGUUGUAUGUGGAGGCUCACUGUGCGGCAACAAGUGUACUACCGUACCUGACACCCGUUCUGUUUCCCAUAGACCAAAAGAGUGUAACCCAGCAUGUC